CUGAGUUCUACAAAAACUCCCAACCCUUUGUGAACCUUAUUUCAGUUGCCUCGGCGCUGAGCGGUAGCUACCCGGGAAGAGCUACCCUGGAGACAUCCGGGGCGACCUACCCUGUAGUUGCACCUAACGCUCCGCCGGUGGACCACUACACUCUGUUUUUAACCACUGUAUCUCUGAAUUACUUAACGAAAUACGUUA
rnacentral:misc_RNA from 1 species